CACGUAGGCACCAAGCGUUGUCCGGAUUUAUUGGGCGUAAAGAGCUCGUAGGCGGUUCAGUAAGUCGGGUGUGAAAACUCUGGGCUCAACCCAGAGACGCCACCCGAUACUGCUGUGACUUGAGUACGGUAGGGGAGUGGGGAAUUCCCGGUGUAGCGGUGAAAUGCGCAGAUAUCGGGAGGAACACCAAUGGCGAAGGCAGCUCGCUGGGACGUUACUGACGCUGAGACGCGAAAGCGUGGGGAGCAAACAGG
rnacentral:rRNA from 1 species